UGGGCCGUGGUGGAGAGGUAACACGCUUGGCUUUGGACCAAGAGGUCCCAGGUUCGAUCCCUGGCGGCCCAGCCA
rnacentral:tRNA from 1 species